UGAUCCUACGGGGCGCAGCAGUGGGGGAUAUUGCACAAUGGGGGAAACCCUGAUGCAGCGACGCCGCGUGGGUGAAGAAGCGCCUCGGCGCGUAAAGCCCUGUCAGCAGGGAAGAAAAUGACGGUACCUGAAGAAGAAGCCCCGACUAACUACGUGCCAGCAGCCGCGGUAAUACGUAGGGGGCAAGCGUUAUCCGGAUUUAUUGGGUGUAAAGGGGGCGCAGACGGCGAUGCAAGCCAGGAGUGAAAGCCCGGGGCCCAACCCCGGGACUGCUCUUGGAACUGCGUGGCUAGAGCGCCGGAGGG
rnacentral:rRNA from 1 species